GUGCAACAGGCGAGAAACCUCCGCAAUGCUCGAAAGAGCGACGGGGGGACUCCAAGUGCCUACGCUCAGCGUAGGCUGUUCCCGAGCCUAAAAAGCUCGGGGAGUAAGGGCUGGGUAAGACGGGUGCCAGCCGCCGCGGUAAUACCCGCAGCCCGAGUGGUGGCCGCUAUUAUUGGGCCUAAAAGCGUCCGUAGCCGGCUCGGUAAAUGCCUGGGUAAAUCGACUGGCCCAACCAGACGAAUUCCGGGUAAACUGCCGGGCUAGGGACCGGAGGAGGGAGAGGGUACUCCAGGGGUAGGGGUGAAAUCAGCAAGGUGAGUUGCUGAUGUAACUUGCCUUGCAAGUCACAAUCCUGUAAUCCCCUGGAGGACCACCGGUGGCGAAGGCGCUCUCCUAGGACGGGUCCGACGGUGAGGGACGAAAGCCAGGGGAGCAAACCGGAUUAGAUACCCCCGUAGU
rnacentral:rRNA from 1 species